UUUGAUGUCUCCCCCGAAAAAUCCGAUCGGGAGAAGGGCAAAAAGAGGGAACGGGUAAGUGGUAACACAAGUCAGAAAAAAAUUACAUUCAGUGUUUCUUCCUUGGCCCUUCCUAGUUCCUGCUGCUGUUGUUCUUGCUUCCUUGGCCCUUGCUGUUGACGUUGUUCUUGCUAUUGUCGUUGCUGCUGUCGCCAACCAGACACUGCAGCCACGCCACUCACCAGCGACAGUCCGCGCUCGCUAAGUUUCAGCAUUGUGCUAGAUUGGAAACAUUGGCUUCUCAAUAUAUCGUUCAUAAAUAUAGAUGGAAUUGAAAGUCACUCGUCACCAAAUGCCCAAACCAUAAAUAUAGAUGGAUUGAAAAAUCAGAGUUGACUAAGUUGGGGGUUGAUUCAAAAAUUAUUGACAUUCAAUUAUGCUAACUGCUACUUGUAAAUUUUUUACAAGAUACUAGAACGAUCGAUGACUCGAGGAUGAAAAUGUGAUAUGAGCUUUUUCAGUCUGUAGGCAUUAGGAUUUAGGAGGCCUUGGCUUUAUUGUUGUUACUGAAAUGAUUUACAAAAACCUCUGAUAAUUUAUGGAUGUGAUUGAACUCUUUUCUUUGGGUAUUUAUGUAAAGCUUUAAGUAUUUGUGUC